rnacentral:sRNA from 1 species
UGCAUUUGAAGCCCAUGAGGAUGAGAAUCUCCGGGGGCAGGGAGGUUCGACUCGAGCGAAGCGAGAGAACGUUGCGCCAGCAACGGCCCGCAGGGCGAGCCACGAAGUGGCGAGUAAUCCUCUAUCACCGACCA